GGAAAAGAAACUAACAAGGAUUCCCCUAGUAACGGCGAGUGAAGAGGGAAGAGCCCAAGAUUGAAAGCUGGCGUCUUCGGCGUCCGCAUUGUAAUCUCAAGAAGUGUUUUCCGCUUCGGACCAUGCCUAAGUCCCUUGGAAAAGGGCAUCAUAGAGGGUGAUAAUCCCGUACAUGGCAUGGAGCGCCCGAAGCUUUGUGAUACGCUUUCUAAGAGUCGAGUUGUUUGGGAAUGCAGCUCAAAAUGGGUGGUAAAUGCCAUAUAAGGCUAAAUAUUGGGGAGAGACCGAUAGCGAACAAGUACAGUGAUGGAAAGAUGAAAAGAACUUUGAAAAGAGAGUUAAAAAGUACGUGAAAUUGCCAAAAGGGAAGGGUAGGAGGUCAGAGAUGCGUCUUGGGAUUCAGCCUUGCUUUUUGCAUGGUGUUUUUCCCAAGUUGCAGGCCAACGUCGGUUUUGGGCACUGGAGAAGGGUGGAAGGAACGUGGCACCUCUCGGGGUGUGUUAUAGCCUUCUACUGGAUACAGCGACCGAGACCGAGGACAGCAGCGUACUCGCAAGAGCGGGCC
rnacentral:rRNA from 2 species